CUACGGGCGGCACCAGUGGGGAAUAUUGCACAAUGGGCGCAAGCCUGAUGCAGCCAUGCCGCGUGUAUGAAGAAGGCCUUCGGGUUGUAAAGUACUUUCAGCGGGGAGGAAGGGAGUAAAGUUAAUACCUUUGCUCAUUGACGUUACCCGCAGAAGAAGCACCGGCUAACUCCGUGCCAGCAGGCCGCGGUAAUACGGAGGGUGCAAGCGUUAAUCGGAAUUACUGGGCGUAAAGCGCACGCAGGCGGUUUGUUAAGUCAGAUGUGAAAUCCCCGGGCUCAACCUGGGAGCUGCAUCUGAUACUGGAAAGCGUGAGUCUCGUAGAGGGGGGUAGAAUUCCAGGUGUAGCGGUGAAAUGCGUAGAGAUCUGGAGGAAUACCGGUGGCGAAGGCGGCCCCCUGGACGAAGACUGACGCUCAGGUGCGAAAGCGUGGGGAGCAAACAGGAUUAGAUACCCGCGUAGUC
rnacentral:rRNA from 1 species